GCCAGGGAGAGUUUUCAUACCACCACUUAAGCCCAGGAAUGAGGAGCAAGUACCAGCCUCUGCCAUUGUCAUUGCUGAAAUAGGUCUGCCAACUUCUGGAUAUCCCAAUGACGACAUUGAAGAAGUCAAAACAAGCAUGACUUAUGAAUCAGAUUAUUUGGAACUGUGCUCAGCUGGCCCCACACCCCCAAAAUGUGUCAUGACAAUGAAGA